rnacentral:rRNA from 1 species
GUUGAACGCUGGCGGAAUGCUUUACACAUGCAAGUCGAACGGCAGCACGGGGGCAACCCUGGUGGCGAGUGGCGAACGGGUGAGUAAUACAUCGGAACGUGCCCAGUCGUGGGGGAUAACGUAGCGAAAGUUACGCUAAUACCGCAUACGAUCUACGAAUGAAAGCGGGGGACCGUAAGGCCUCGCGCGAUUGGAGCGGCCGAUGGGAGAUUAGGUAGUUGGUGCGGUAAAGGCUCACCAAGCCGACGAUCUGUAGGUGGUCUGAGAGGACGACCAGCCACACUGGGACUGAGACACGGCCCAGACUCCUACGGGAGGCAGCAGUGGGGAAUUUUGGACAAUGGGCGCAAGCCUGAUCCAGCCAUUCCGCGUGCAGGACGAAGGCCUUCGGGUUGUAAACUGCUUUUGUACGGAACGAAAAGGCUCUGGUUAAUACCUGGGGCUCAUGACGGUACCGUAAGAAUAAGCACCGGCUAACUACGUGCCAGCCGCCGCCGUAA